rnacentral:rRNA from 1 species
ACCUGGUUUAUAACAUGUUGAAUAUACCGGCUCUCGUCCUAUGACCGAAGUUAGCUACGUCGGGCGCGGUCAGUACUUGGAUGGGUAACUGCCUGGGAACACCGCGUGACGCUGGCU